UACGAAGGGGGCUAGCGUUGCUCGGAAUCACUGGGCGUAAAGAGCGCGCAGGCGGUCGUUCAAGUCGAGUGUGAAAGCCCCCGGCUCAACUGGGGAGGGUCACUCGAUACUGAUCGACUGGAAGGCAGGAGAGGGAAGCGGAAUUCCCGGUGUAGUGGUGAAAUGCGUAGAUAUCGGGAGGAACACCAGUGGCGAAGGCGGCUUCCUGGCCUGUUCUUGACGCUGAGGCGCGAAAGCUAGGGGAGCAAACGGG
rnacentral:rRNA from 1 species